GACGUAGGAGGCGAGCGUUGUCCGGAUUUACUGGGCGUAAAGCGCGCGCGGGCGGUCCCGCAGGUCGCCUGUGAAAGCCCCCGGCUCAACCGGGCGGGCGCGGGCGAAACCGCGGGACUGGAGGGCGAUAGAGGGUGGUGGAAUUCCCGGUGUAGUGGUGAAAUGCGUAGAGAUCGGGAGGAACACCCGCGGCGAAGGCGGCCACCUGGGUCGGCCCUGACGCUGAGGCGCGAAGGCCGGGGGAGCGAACGGG
rnacentral:rRNA from 1 species